UACGUAGGGGGCAAGCGUUAUCCGGAUUUACUGGGUGUAAAGGGAGCGUAGACGGUAAUGCAAGUCUGGAGUGAAAACCCGGGGCUCAACCCCGGGACUGCUUUGGAAACUGUGUAACUAGAGUGUCGGAGAGGCAAGUGGAAUUCCUAGUGUAGCGGUGAAAUGCGUAGAUAUUAGGAGGAACACCAGUGGCGAAGGCGGCUUACUGGACAGUAACUGACGUUGAGGCUCGAAAGCGUGGGGAGCAAACAGG
rnacentral:rRNA from 1 species